UGCUUGUAAUAUCUAACGUCAUAUACCAUUUGCCUAAGGCACGGAGUGAGAUUUAUGACUCCAGUGGAAAUAAAACUGAACAAAUAUCCAUAGUUUAUUCCUUUAUUCAGUUACAAAAGCAUGAUGACUUCUUUCCAGGACACUUUGGUUAGAAAAAAAAGAAGAUUUCUCAAAAGUCUGACUCCUAACAGUGUUCUGUAUUCUUUUAUAUUUAUUUAUUUUAAAACUUUGAACCCAUUUAUUGAACUUUGAAUUUUAAAACUCAAUUUUAACAUUUGUAGAGUUAAAAAAAAACAUGACAGUGUUUCUGGUGAUUAGAUUCCAGUAGUAAAAGUACCAUGAAAAAAAAAGAAGAAAUAUUCACAUGGUGAUAGAUUUUAAGCACUUCAAAAAAACAAACAAACAAAAAAAAAAAAAACCAACAGGAGAUUAAAUUAAAAUCAACUCUAAACUGGCUUUGAACAACAAAAAGCGUCUGCAGAUUAAUUAACAUCAGUGUGUUGUUUACUUUUUUCAUAGCCUUCAAAGUGCCACCUAAUUCUCCUUUACAAUACAAACACUGAAUGUCCCUUUUUUAAAAAAAACAAAAAAACAAAAACUUUUUCAUUUUGUUUAAUUUUUUUUUUGUUUUUUUUUACAAAUCCUGUUAUGCCAUAUAAAACAUAUUUCCCAAGAUAAAGCCUCCACAGAAGAGUGCUGUGCUGUCGUAGUAAUUAAUACAUCAUCAGAAAAAAGAAGACGCAUAUGAAGGAGGAAAGAAAAAAGUAUUCACACGGCAGGUAACUAAUUCUGGUACACUGAGGCUUGAUUUAAAGGAGAACAAACAUUUUCACUGGGGAAGAGAAAAAUCCUUUUAUAUACAUAACAAUGUGGAGAUACAUAUGAUUUUUGCUUGCCCACUUAUGGCGGAAUGGCGGAAAGAGAGGUACCACAUUAGAUUUGGUACCCUCGAAAAAGGAAAAAAAAGGAUACAAACUCAGGAAUAAAAAUAAAAGCACAUCCAUUUGUGGAAGCAGAGGAUGAGUGCUGCCUUUGUACAGGCGCUUGGCUGUAAAAUAAGAGGUCAGCUAGAUUCUGCAGUACAUAAUCCAAAGCUGACCUCUGGCAUCCAACAGCAGUGAAAAUCCCAUUUCAAGCGCUUCGACCUUCCAGUCACCUUAGACUAAACUCACCCCCUUGGACACUGUUAAAGACACGCAGAUAUCAAGCCAGUGGUGAUGGUUGAUGCAUUUUAGGACUUCUCUUUUCAAGGACUAUAAUUUUGAACCACUUUUUUAAAAAAGAACUUUAAUUUUUACUCACAUUUCCCUCAACUUGCUCCCUCUGCUUAAUCUUCGGUUUUUCCUAUAUUUACUUGAAAGCCUUUUAACGAUUUGGGUAUGUGAAAUUGCUGUACUCUGCAGUGGAAUAUUUGUGGAGGUGGACUGAGGUGGAGUGAUAGCUAUGUAAGAGGAAAAGAUGUUCAUGCUGGCUGAAGGCACAUAAUGCAUCCUUUACAUAGCUCCAGGCUCUGAUGUGUUAUGAAAAAAAAACUGUUAGUGAUUUCUCUCCUGGCACAUUUUUCAGCUGUACGACUACUCCAUUUAAACAAUCAGUUUGGCAAUAGUAUAUAUAUAUAUAUAUAUAUAUAUAUAUAUAUAUAUAUAUAUAUAUAUAUAUAUAUUAGGGGUGCAACGAUAUUCGUAUCGAUAUUGAACCGUUCGAUACAGUGCUUUCGGUUCGGUACGCAUAUGUAUCGAACAAUACAACAUUUGUAAUUUAUUUUAUCAAUUUUCCUUCUGACGAUGCUGUC
ensembl:lncRNA